rnacentral:misc_RNA from 1 species
CAGAGACUUUCCGAUUUCAGACCCUGCUCUGUUCUCGCCUGCUUCUUCAAUACCCAAAACCUCAUAACACAUCUCCAACGAACCAUGAAACAAAAGGUGGUGAUCAAGGUUUCCCUGAAUGGCCCCAAGUCCCGCUCUAAAGCCUUGAAGAUUGCAGUCAGCUUUUCAGGUGUGGAAUCAGCAGCUCUAGGAGCGCAAGAUAAGAGCCAGAUAGAGGUGGUAGGGGAUAU